rnacentral:misc_RNA from 1 species
GAUGAAGAACGCAGCGAAAUGCGAUAAGUAAUGUGAAUUGCAGAAUUCAGUGAAUCAUCGAAUCUUUGAACGCACAUUGCGCCCGCUGGUAUUCCGGCGGGCAUGCCUGUUCGAGCGUCAUUUCAACCCUCAAGCCCCCGGGUUUGGUGUUGGGGAUCGGCUCUGCCCUUCUGGGCGGUGCCGCCCCCGAAAUACAUUGGCGGUCUCGCUGCAGCCUCCAUUGCGUAGUAGCUAACACCUCGCAACUGGAACGCGGCGCGGCCAUGCCGUAAAACCCCAACUUCUGAAUGUUGACCUCGGAUCAGGUAGGAAUACCCGCUGAACUUAAGCAUAUCAAUAACGGA